rnacentral:rRNA from 2 species
AAAUUGAAGAGUUUGAUCAUGGCUCAGAUUGAACGCUGGCGGCAGGCCUAACACAUGCAAGUCGAACGGUAACAGGAAGCAGCUUGCUGCUUCGCUGACGAGUGGCGGACGGGUGAGUAAUGUCUGGGAAACUGCCUGAUGGAGGGGGAUAACUACUGGAAACGGUGGCUAAUACCGCAUAACGUCGCAAGACCAAAGAGGGGGACCUUCGGGCCUCUUGCCAUCAGAUGUGCCCAGAUGGGAUUAGCUUGUUGGUGAGGUAACGGCUCACCAAGGCGACGAUCC